UGCAGCCCAAGGAGUUCUGCACGGACCAGCUGGAGAUCCUGAGCAAGUCACCUGGUCACCCUGAGACCCAGUGAUCCCUGAUGUAAAAUGGGGUUACAUUUUCUGCCGAGAUCAUGUCUGCCCCGCAAGCACAGAGCCUCGCCCUUGCCGUUCUGUCGCCCAUCCACACCCACCGCCAGCUCACCAUGGAUGAUGAUAUUGCUGCACUUGUUGUCGACAAUGGCUCUGGUAUGAGCAAGGCCAGCUUUGCGGGCGAUAACGCUCCCCAGGCCAUCUUCUCCUCCAUCGUGAGGCACCCCAGGCACCAGGGCGUGAUGAUGGGCAUGGGUCAGAAGGACUCCUACAUGAGUGACGAGGCCUAGAGCAAGAGAGGCAUCCUGACCCUGAAGUACGCCAUUGAGCACGGCAUAGUGUGGCUCCUGAGGAGCACCCCAUGUUGUUUACUGAGGCCCCCCUGAACCCCAAGGCCAACUGUGAGAAGAUGACCCAGAUCAUGUUUGAGACCUUCAACACCCCAGCCAUAUAUGUGGCCAUCCAGGCCGUGCUUUCCUUGCACACCUCUGGCCAUACCACUGGCGUCAUGAUAGACUCUGGUGACGGGGUCACCCACACUGUGCCCAUCUAUGAGGGGUAUGCCCUCCCCCACGCCAUCCUGAGUCUGGACCUGGCUGGCUGGGACCUGACUGACUACCUAAUGAAGAUUCUCACCAAGCACAGCUACAGCUUCACCACCACAGCUGAGCAGGAAAUCGUGCGUGACAUCAAGGAAAAGCUGUGCUACGUCACCCUGGACUUCGAGCAAGAGAUGGCCACGGCAGCCUCCAGCUCCUCCCUGGAGAAGAGCUAUGAGCUGCCCGAUGGUCAGAUCAUCACCAUCGGCAACGAGCGGUUCCGCUGCCCUGAGGCGCUCUUCCAGACUUCCUUCCUGGGCAUGGAAUCUUGUGGCAUCCACGAAACUACCGUGACGUAGACAUCCACAAAGACCUGUAUGCCAACACAGUGCUGUCUGGUGGUACCACCAUGUACCCUGGCAUCGCUGACAGGAUGCAGAAGAUCACCGCCCUGGCACCCAGCACAAUGAAGAUCAUCAAGAUCAUUUCUCCUCCCAAGCGCAAGUACUCCGUGUGGAUCGGUGGCUCCAUCCUGGCCUCGCUGUCCACCUUCCAGCAGAUGUGGAUCAGCAAGCAGGAGUAUGACGAGUCCCACCCCUCCAUCGUCCACCGCAAAUGCUUCUAGGCAGACUGUGACUUAGCUGCGUUACACCCUUUCUUGACAAAACCUCACUUGAACAGAAAACAAGAUGAGAUUGGUAUGGCUUUAUUUGGUUUUGUUUGUUUGUUUGUUUGUUUUGUUUUUUUGGCUUGACUCAGGAUUUAAAAACUGGAACGGUGAAGGUGACAGCAGUCGGUUGGAGCGAGCAUCCCCCAAAAUUCUACAGUGUGGCCGAGGACUUGAUUGUAUAUAUUGUUUUUUUAACUCAUUCCAAAUAUCGUGAGAUGCGUUGUUACAGGAAGUCCCUUGCCCUCCCAAAAGCCACCCCACCUCUCUCUAAGGAGAAUGGCCCAGUCCUCUUCUGAGUCCACACAGGGGAGGUAACAGCAUUGCUUUUGUUGUAAAUUAUGUAAUUUAAAAAGUUUAAAAUUUCACCUUAAUACUUUUUUAUUGUGUUUUAUUUUGAAAGAUUUUAGCCUCUGUGGCUACCCCUUUUUUUGCCCCUCAACUUGAGAUGUACGAAGGCUUUUGGUCUCCCUGGGAGUGGGUGGAGGCAGCCAGGGCUUACCUGUACACUGACUCAAGACCAGCUGAAUAAAGUACACACCUUAAAAAAAUGGGGUUACAUUUUCCAGCAGGGAUCACUGGGGCUCAGGAUGGUGAUGAGCCGCAAAUGGUCAAACUCUUUUGACCAGGGGUUCUCAAGUCUGACUGCAUGU